UGGGGAAUAUUGCACAAUGGAGGGAACUCUGAUGCAGCGACGCCGCGUGAACGAAGAAGGCUUUCGAGUCGUAAAGUUCUUUUAUAUGGGAAGAUAAUGACGGUACCAUAAGAAGAAGCCCCGGCUAACUACGUGCCAGCAGCCGCGGUAAUACGUAGGGGGCUAGCGUUGUCCGGAAUCACUGGGCGUAAGGGUUCGCAGGCGGAAAUGCAAGUCAGGUGUAAAAGGCAGUAGCUUAACUACUGUAAGCAUUUGAAACUGCAUAUCUUGAGAAGAGUAGAGGUAAGUGGAAUUUUUAGUGUAGCGGUGAAAUGCGUAGAUAUUAAAAAGAAUACCGGUGGCGAAGGCGACUUACUGGGCUCAUUCUGACGCUGAGGAACGAAAGCGUGGGUAGCAAACAGG
rnacentral:rRNA from 1 species